rnacentral:rRNA from 1 species
CCUACGGGGGGCUGCAGUAAGGAAUAUUGGACAAUGGUCGAAAGACUGAUCCAGCCAUGCCGCGUGAAGGAUGAAGGCCCUAUGGGUUGUAAACUUCUUUUGUACGGGAAAAAACCCUCGCUCGUGAGCGAGGCUGAUUGUACUGUAAGAAUAAGGAUCGGCUAACUCCGUGCCAGCAGCCGCGGUAAUACGGAGGAUCCAAGCGUUAUCCGGAUUCAUGGGUGCGAAAGGGUGCGUGGACGGCAGUGUAGAAAUCUCUCGGCUUAACCGAGAAACUGCCAUGGAUACUGCAAAUCGUGAGUACAUGUGAUGUGGGCGGAAUGUGUCAUGUAGCGGUGAAAUGCUUAGAUAUGACACAGAACACCGAUUGCGAAGGCAGCUCACAAAACUGUAACUGACGCUGAGGCACGAAAGCGUGGGUAUCAAACAGGAUUAGAUACCCGAGUAGUC